rnacentral:lncRNA from 1 species
GUUGUGGAUGCGGCGGAAAUUUGGAGUUAGAUCGGAAUAUAUUCAUAUGAUGAUAAAUUUGGAUGAUAUUUGUGCCAACAUCGAGUAUUUUAUCAAAGUUUUUGCACCAUCACUGCUCCGCUGAGACUCCAGUCUUUGAUUGGCUGUCCAAGGCUCUGAUUGGUUGACAGACAGACAAAGACGGCAGUCUUCCAUUAGCGUUCUAGGCUAACAACUAAAAUCAGACUUCGUGACUAAACUUGAUAUUUGUUUGUUUUGGUCGUCUCCGUGGGAAAAGCCCCUCAAUGAUGCAGAAACAGAUCAUCAUUUUUAUUACAUUUAUUCUCAGCAACCACAACAGCGAAGGACAAACUUACAACAAAUAAAAUGUAGAAAUGCUUUUAAAGAUGUUUCUUUAGUUAUAAUACUAAACUUUACUUAUGUGGCGCUUUUUAAAAACAAAAACAGGAAGUGCUGUAGAGUUAAAGACUAAAGAUCCUUCCUGUGGUGGUCUCAGAGACUGAAGUAAACAUCUCCUGUAUACAACUGUGACACUGUCUGUAGCAGAGGAUGUGCAGGUUGUGGGUUUCAGUCGUUUUUUCGGCGUCAUCGAGUUGACAGGGAUUUCAGAAACUCUGCCACCAGAGGGCGCCAGCUACAAACUUAACUCAGAUCAUUUAUUUCACCACUCAGCUAUUUUUUUUUUAACCAUUUCAACCCAACUAAAUGACUGUCAACUUCCAUCUAUAAACAAACUUUAUAGAUGAAGUGUUUCAUCUUUCAAUCACGUAUGAGAAGACUCUUCAAAUACUUUAUUUUUCACAAACAUGAAUUCGAUUUCUCUCUUUAAACAGAAUCAGAGAACAAGGUGAUAAUCAAAUCAUUUAUCUUGUUAGUUUUGGGCACCAUAAAAAGGUAAGAAUAUAAAUUAAAGUAUUUCAUAAAUGCUAAAAACUCAAGGAAGAACAUUUAUGAUCAUUUUUUCAUGGAAAUACAAUCAGACCGAGACGCUAAGGCAGAAGAACUAUUGUGUCUGCAGUGCAAAAUGAUUAAGAUGAUGAUCAUUACUUCAAGGAAAUGAUAAAGAAAUGAUCAUAUGUUUUUCCUUGAGUUGCUUCACCCCGCUGUUGUCCGUAAAAGAGUGGCAUUUUGGUUGAGGUUUGUUUAUGGCUCCUCAGACCGCUGUGUAUUGCUAUCCUGCGGUCAUUACUAAAGUUGGUAUAACUAGAAAAGCAUGCGGUCGGCAACAUUCAUCUCUGGAGGGGGUGUCUAACUUGGUGUUACGAUGUGUUUGACCCUAAAUUUAUUUUAUGCCGGAAUAUCCCUUUGAGGCGACUUUUAUCAGGAUCCACCUUAAUGAUAACAUUGCUCCAUUAGUAUCUGCUUUGAGACUGUUUAUUUUUGCUUUUUCAGCCUGAAAUAAAGAGGCUUACUUUGUGAUCUCCUCCAAACAUCCCUGGGGGUUGAAAUUAGGACUUGAUCAGGAACAGGAUGGAGGAAUCUCCUCCUCAGAUGGACUAAGAUUACUGAGAUGUGACCCCGGUGGAGCGGCUGUUGACAGAGAGACGGCUUUAGAGGAAGCAGGGGUUUAAAGGCUAACUCUGUCAGCACACAGAGAGAGCAGGGAGGUUUGAUUCCCCGUCCAUCUGUGUGCAGAGUUUACACAUAACCACACAGAGAUAAGAUUCAGAGAGGAGACAGUGAAGGGAACUUUAAAGCUUGGAAAUGAGCAGGUUUGCGGCCAAGUGGUUUUUCUGUGAUAUAACAAGGAUUUGGCCGUGAUCUGAAACAGAGAGACAUGUAGAGGUUUGCCAGCAUGGACAUGAAACGAGCAACCAGAGAAACCAGAGGAUGGACAAUCAGAAUGAACCACAGAGAGGAGAGAGAUAGUUCAGCAGGAAAAAGCAAAAAAUAAGAAGUGCAUUUGGAAAUCACCGCAUGGAAAGGACAACUGGACGUUUCGCCUUUCAACGAAGAAUUGGAAAUCAUAGAUGCUGUUUUAUCUGCUCUGAAAUGAAGAGGGAACUUUUUCUUUACGUUAAUCAACCCUGACUUUUAGGGAACAAUCACAAAAAUGUAACAUCUAUCUCUAAAGUUGCUGUUGUUUCCCAUUUGCAGCAAGUUUGUCAAUAUCCUGUCAAUACAAGCGUUACAACACAUCAGCAACGUUUUCCCGUCCUGUGAUAUUGCGGCAGAGGAGGAGUAGCGUUCGUC